GAUGAACGCUGGCGGCGUGCUUAACACAUGCAAGUCGAACGAAGCACUCAUGCGUUUUCGGACAAAUGAGUGACUGAGUGGCCGACGGGAGAGUAACGCGUCGGGAACCUUGCUCAUACAGGGGGAUAACAGCUGGAUACGGCUGCGAAUACCUCAUAAGCGCACAGUAUCGCAUGAUACUGGGUGAAAAACUCCGGUGGUAUGAGAUUGACCCGCGUCUGCUUAGCUAGUUGGUGAGGUACGGGCCCACCAAGGCGACGGGCAGUAGCCGACGUGAGAGGGCGACCGGGCACAUCGGGACUGCGACGCGGCCCAAACUCCUACGGGAGGCAGCAGUGGGGAAUAUUGGACAAUGGGCGCAAGCCUGAUGCAGCCAUGCCGCGUGAGUGAUGACGGCCUUAGGGUUGUAAAGCUCUUUCGCCCACGACGAUAAUGACGGUAGUGGGGGAAGAAGCCCCGGCUAACUUCGUGCCAGCCGCCGCAGUAA
rnacentral:rRNA from 1 species